AUUGAACGCUGGCGGCAGGCUUAACACAUGCAAGUCGAGCGGGGUGAUGGUGCUUGCACUAUCACUUAGCGGCGGACGGGUGAGUAAUGCUUAGGAAUCUGCCUAUUAGUGGGGGACAACAUCUCGAAAGGGAUGCUAAUACCGCAUACGUCCUACGGGAGAAAGCAGGGGAUCACUUGUGACCUUGCGCUAAUAGAUGAGCCUAAGUCGGAUUAGCUAGUUGGUGGGGUAAAGGCCUACCAAGGCGACGAUCUGUAGCGGGUCUGUGAGGAUGGACGGCCAGAAUGGGACUGGGAGACGGCCCAGAUUCUUAGAGGAGGAAGGGAUGGGGAAUAUUGGGAAAUGGGGGGAACCCUGAUCCAGCCAUGCCGCGUGUGUGAAGAAGGCCUUAUGGUUGUAAAGCACUUUAAGCGAGGAGGAGGCUCUUUUGGUUAAUACCCAAGAUGAGUGGACGUUACUCGCAGAAUAAGCACCGGCUAACUCUGUGCCAGCCGCCGCGGUAA
rnacentral:rRNA from 1 species